AUGACCAUACUGCCUCAUGAGCACCGGUUCUUGUCCAAUCACUGAACUGAAGCAAUGUCAAGUUCGGGUAGUACUUGUGAGUGGACACUAAGUAACACUAGGCUCUUCCUUUGUUUACAAUCCUUUAUGUGUUUCUAGGAACUAUUAUAAUGUGUUAGAAUCU